rnacentral:rRNA from 1 species
UACGGAGGGUGCAAGCGUUAUCCGGAUUCACUGGGUUUAAAGGGUGCGUAGGUGGGCAGGUAAGUCAGUGGUGAAAUCUCCGGGCUUAACCCGGAAACUGCCAUUGAUACUAUCUGUCUUGAAUACCGUGGAGGUGAGCGGAAUAUGUCAUGUAGCGGUGAAAUGCUUAGAUAUGACAUAGAGCACCAAUUGCGAAGGCAGCUCACUACGCGAAUAUUGACACUGAGGCACGAAAGCGUGGGGAUCAAACAGG